GGAGAGAUUGCCUAGUUGGUUAAGGCGUCAGUUUGCUAAACUGAAGUGGAGCAAUCCACGCGCGGGUUCGAAUCCCGCUCUCUCCG
rnacentral:tRNA from 1 species